AACACAAAAUCUUACUAUUUUAGCUAUUGUAUAAUAGUGAAAAUAAUGUAUAAAGAAAGUCAGGGUUGGCAUUAAUGUUAAUAUACUCGGAAGAUAGUGUUUUAUAUUUUAGAUUAUUAAUUUGUUAAAAAAAAGCAGAAACCUAAAUCGUAAAAGAAUAGAAGAAAACUCUCUUUUCUCUUCUUGACCUGAAAAAAACAAAAAACACAACUCUAUCAUCAAUCUCGAUCUCUUUCAAUUGUCUUCCUAUAUCUUAGAUUAUCAUCUGCAAUUAAACCCGAGAGCUGAGAAAUUAACUUAAAGAGAUUCUAAUUUGCGAGUAACUCGAAAUAAAUGUCAGAUCCAAUUGCCAAAGAGAGAGAGCCGACAACAACAGUUCGUCUCCAAUUAUCAAAAUCUGUUUAGUCGUAAAGGUGAUUGAGAAAUUAAGGAAGAACGAUUCAAAACUAUGCUCGGCGUGAACGACAGAUCCAAUUGGCCAACAAAUUAAAGAGACCCGAGUACAACGUUUCGAAUCGGAAUCCAAAUAUGUGGAGUCACAGAGAGGAUGCUAAACACGAUUUUUUUCUCAAUGAAUUUCAAAGAUGGAAGUCUGCUAUAAUAUCUUCAAAAAUCAUCCUAAGGAUGACUUUGCUAAUACUCUGAAAGAUUUUAGUAUGCUAGAGUAUGAUACCAAGAUUUAACAGGUUAAUCAAGAAACGUGUGAGAGUAUAUGGGGUCUCUAAUCUAUAUCUUAAUCUUUUAAAAGUGAAAUGAAAUCAAAAUUAAAAGCUUGAAUGUCAUAGUAUAAAAGAAUAGUAAAGUAAGGGGACCAGACAUAUUUGUUGCGAACUGGAAAAAAUGAAGACAGUCAGUCUCACUAGGAAGUGUGGGGUUUCAAGUCCAUGUUAGGUCUGUUUGUUGUUGCUCUUUCAACCUUCCCUUUCAAUUUACAACCAAUCUUUCUUUACACUUUAUACUAAUUUAUUAUUCAUGUUUCCAAUAGCACUAAAACAGUUUAAAAAUCAUAGGCAGCUUCUUAUUUAUUUA